rnacentral:rRNA from 1 species
AUGACUCCCUCCAGAGCCAUCGGCCAUCGAAGACUCCCUCAACCUGUUGGCCAAGGGGUUUGGCUGCUGUGCUGGGGUCCUGGGGACUUCAAGAUGGCCAUCCUGGCGACCUACUUUGACAUCGGGAAGCAGACGCACCGCAGCCUCGAUGAUGAGCAUGAACCUCGAGGUGAUUGGAGCACUGCGCCGCCGUGCUCAUGCUCGAGUCUCGCUUCCCCGCCAGUGCGCACCCCGGCGCCGACGACGGCGACGUCACCAGGCGCGGAGGGCCGCGUCUUCCACAACGACUCGUCCUCGUCCUGCUGCCGCUGCGGUCCGAAAGUGAAUGGCAGGACAUGCACGAGGGACACACAGUGA